UUUUUUUUCAAGAGUUAGAUGAAUUAUACAGAUAAUUGUCCAGCCUCUGAUGAUGGUGAGCUCAAGGUCAGGAGCAGGCAUAGGAAGUUUAAGAACUGCCGUUGCUAGAAUUGCUAAGUUUGCAAAGUUCUAGCCAUCUAGGGUCUCAAAACAAAGAAAACAAUUCCCAAAGCCAGUCAGAGACAGGGAAUCAUAGUUUGUAUGGACAAAUAAGGAGGAAGAAUGAAAGAUUAUGUGUUGUUGAAGAGAAAGGAGAAGUCAAAAUAAAAAAUGUUAAGAGAUAAGGAAGAGAUGGUGAAUGGUGUGAUGAUGAUGAUCCGACUAAGUUAGUGAAAACUGUCAACAAUCACUUGUGAUUUUUUAAUUUUCUUUAUUAUCUUUUUUGUUUGUCAAAGCCAUCACUUAGAGGAAAUGAGAGCAUAAAAUGGGUUUUCACGUUCUGACAAAUUAGGUUCAUCCAAACCACUAACUUUUCAUUUUGGUCAACAAAAGGAAUUAUUUUUCAAUAUGGGAAUAUAUAAUAAUGCUACAUACCAAAAAAAAAAAAAUGUUAACUUGAAUUCUAAAAUUGACAUAUAAGGUUAUCAGGUAUAUGAAAUUGAAAAAAUUGGAGAUGACUUUAGGGAGUGGCCUACCUAAUUUGACACUUCUUCAACUACACCCUUUGAAUUUAUCUUUCUUUACCUUUAUUUUUUUGGUUUAUUUAUUUAUUUUUUCCCUCCUCUCAUCUUUUUUUUUUUUUCUCAUCAACUCCGCUAUCUCUCUCUCUCUCUCUCUCCUAAUUUUGCCUUCUUCAAAAACUGCAAAAAAAGCAAAUCAAGAAAAGAGAAGAAGCAGAAUCCAUAGAUGUGUCCAUUAAGGAUUAUCCUCAUAUUCCUUUCAGCGACUCUCGCUGGCUUCUUCGUCCUCAAGAAGCUCAACUCUACCUCCGACGAUCCUCUCGACGAUUCCUUCACCGACGCUGCUGAACCCGCCGACGACUCUGCCUCUGGAUUCUCCAAGGUGGGAAUGGCAUUGAAGUCUGGAUUUUGGACAUGCGUUGACAUGGCAAGUGGUCGCUAUCUCUGGAACCAUAUCCGCUCCGACUCCAAAAACUCUUCUUAAGUGUUUUUGUUACUCUUAUCUCUAUCUCUCUCUGUCUCUCUAUUGUCUGUAACUGUGUAAUUUUGCUGCAAUGGACGGCAACCAAAACCGCAUAUUGUCUUCUUUUGUACUAUAAUAUAGAUCUUGUCUUCUUCACUAUACUUUAAAACUCUCAAUAAAGUUGAAGUCUUUAA